rnacentral:rRNA from 1 species
GAUGAACGCUGGCGGCGUGCCUAAUACAUGCAAGUCGAGCGAACGGACGAGAAGCUUGCUUUUCUGAUGUUAGCGGCGGACGGGUGAGUAACACGUGGAUAACCUACCUAUAAGACUGGGAUAACUUCGGGAAACCGGAGCUAAUACCGGAUAAUAUCUUGAACCGCAUGGUUCAUAAGUGAAAGACGGUCUUGCUGUCACUUAUAGAUGGAUCCGCGCUGCAUUAGCUAGUUGGUAAGGUAACGGCUUACCAAGGCAACGAUGCAUAGCCGACCUGAGAGGGUGAUCGGCCACACUGGAACUGAGACACGGUCCAGACUCCUACGGGAGGCAGCAGUAGGGAAUCUUCCGCAGUGGGCGAAAGCCUUGCGGAGCAGCGCCGCGUGAGUGAUGAAGGUCUUCGGAUCGUAAAACUCUGUUAUUAGGGAAGAACAUAUGUGUAAGUAACUGUACACAUCUUGACGGUACCUAAUCAGAAAGCCACGGCUAACUACGUG